GAUAUAAUCCCCCAGGAUAUAAUUCUCAGUGACCUUCUUCCUCCAGCCACACCCCACCUGCCUACAGUUACCAGCUAAUAAUCAUUUCGAGUCACUAAACCAUCAGAUGGAUUAUUCCACUGAGCAAUGUGUUGUAGCUCUAAUCAUCUAAACGUGGCACUUCCGAACAUUCCUGGGUUAACCCAGGAGCUUGGGGGGACAUACUAACCUUGCAGCAGGAAGAGCUGCAGGGAGUCAGGAGUGUGAGACUGACUUUGCUGAGCCAUGCCGACGAAUAUCUGGGGAGAGAGUGAUCCAGGCGAAGGGACCGCAGGUACACCAGCUCUGAGGACCGAUGAGAUGGCCGGUGUGGCUGGAGAAUCCCCAGAGGGCCCCCAGGUGGAUGACUGCAGUACCAGCCUGCAGCCACAAGGUGGCAGAACUACAAGACAGAGCAGCUUGGUCCCCUGAGUCACCACCUGGAGCCAACCCACCCAGGAAAGCCACUCAGCGGGACCUGCAGUAGUCCUUGUGUGGACAGGAAACAGCGAUUUAUUGUGUCAAGUGCUUGAUCUUUUGGAGUCUGUUUGUUAUGACAGUCGAAGUUUAAAUGGCGAAUACAAGCUAGUUAAGUUGGAAUCAAGUCAACAAUUUUUUUUUUUUACCUAAAUAGUCAGAGAAGCGUCCACUAAGUCCAAAUUACUACCUCAAAGCCUGGUUUCUGUUUGAUUGAUUUGACGUCCAUUCACACACACACACACAAAGCCAUCAACGUUGCAUCAACUCAACCUCCAGGAGCUGCUUGCGUCUGGCUUGGUGCCUUGGCCUAGCUGUUGUCUUCAUGGUGGCUUUCAUUCCUGGUUUCCUCUGUCUUGGAUCUUUGUGAAUUAAACUCACUUGGAGGGUUUUCUUUUGUUUUUCCUCCUCCUUACUUUUUUAAAAAACUUUUCCUGGUACUGGGGAUCAAACCCAGAGUCUCCCCUACGCUAGUCCAGUGCUCCACCUCUGAGCUGCAUCCCCAGGCCCUGUUGAUUGGAUUUGAGACAGGAUCUUGCUAAGUGGCCCAGGCUGGUCUUGAACUUGGGAUUGUCCGGCCUUUGUCCCUGCAGUCGCUGGGACCACAGCCGGGUGCCACUGCGCUCGGCUUAAGCCCUUCCUUGACAUUCGGACUAACUGCGAUGCUGGCCUGGUUGUCCUGCUCUUUCUAAGAGAGAUGCUUAGUUGUACCCUUAUGGUCAGGUGUCCCCCAGUUCUGGAAGCUUCUAGAGGUAUUAGUUCUGAGUCGGUGCUGGCUCAGUAAUCCCCAACAGAGAUCCACUUAGGCUGCUUCAGGAAAGGGGAGGUGUUUGCAAGAAUGUCCUAGGAAUCAGAGAAUGGGAUUCGGCUGGGCCUCAAGGAACUGGGGCGAGGAAGCUAUUCGCCCCAGGAAGUCACCGUCUCCUCCUUUGAGACGCUCCGGCCUUCCUCGAAAUGGCACAGACUGCACUUCCUGCCUCCCCUCCUCCCCUCUCUCCUUUCUGCCUCCUUCAGAUGUCUGCGCACCCCCCAGGUGUUAGGCCUGGAGAAUACAAUGACACCGAGACCGUCAAGGACCCCGCUGUCACGGAACUUAUGUUCUUAAGGGGAAACCUAUAAAAAUAAGUAAAAAAAAAAAAAAAUCGACAAAAAUAAGACAUUACAAAACUUUGAGCUGUGAAGGGAAUAAGUAUGGAGUAAAGAAUAA